UACACGGUAAUAACUUUACGUCAAGUGUC
rnacentral:sRNA from 1 species